rnacentral:lncRNA from 1 species
AAUUUACCCAAGUUUUGUCUAUAGUUUUGACUCUAUGAAAUGUUUGCUCGGUGAAACUUGUCAUCUCCUAACUUACAUUGUCUGCCUUAUUAGUGUGGAAUCUAAUAGCAAGACUAAAUAUGUAUAUGGUUAGAGUUGGAGAGAUCUUCUCAAGUUCUUGGUGUUUAACUUCUUUCUUUUCUGCAUGUAAUUCAAUUGAUAAAGAGUAUUAUUUUUACAAAUGAGGUCCCGAGUUCGAGUUUUUUCCUCUCACAAUCACUUGUAUCAAAAAAAAGAAAAAAAAAAAAAAGAAAGUCUCUUCCUCUUCGACGACAAUUACUUUAUUUGUUUUGUUCCAUACGGCCAACCGAUUCGAUGAUACUAACUCAAAGUCAGACCUUAUUUUAUGCAGAUACAUCAUACAUGGCCUUAAUAUCCUGACAGAAAAUUUAUGAACAACCCUAACAUUCUCCCUCUCUAAAACCUGUAAAAUGAUUUAAUCUAUGGACCUCAAGCUGCCACGUGCUCCAACUCUCAACGUCCUCCCAGCCAAAUUUAGCCACAUACACACACCCCCAAUGCUUAUCUUCUUCCCCCACCUGAUCCCAUAAGCUCCCAUGUUUUUGAGCUGUAUGUAUCUCAUAUGCUCCCAUGUUUUUGAGCUGUAUAUAU